CUAGAUUCUCUUCUGCUUCUUAUGUACAGAAAGCUAAGAAAUUGGAUAGAAGACCAAAACAAACAAUUUGAGCAGAAGACAAAGGAAGCUAAAUCAAAGGUUUUUGAUGCUACAGGCAAGACUUCGCAGCUGAAAAUUAAAGGUGACAUUGCCAAAGCAAUUGAUGCUAGGGAUGGGGAGCGGGAAGCUCGUGCAAAGCUGCUCGAGUCAGAGGCGAUGCUGAUGCAAAGCUGCAUUAAUUAUUCUAUGCAGCAUAUUAGUUCUAACCGUUUUCUGUUUGUAGGUGGCACCUCUGGCCAUGUCUGAUGCAACUAUGCUAGCUCCUGAAGAAGUAUUUUCUGGUAAAGGUGACAUCAAAGAAGAAACUGAGCUAACAAAGGCAGAUAGAAAGAGGAGAAGGGCAAAGAAAAAAAGACAGUUUAAAGCUGAGUCUGUCAAACGGAUGGCAGUAAAGACACAGCUAAGCACAUUGAAGAAACCCGAAGAUGUUGCAGGGAACGGGGAGUCAUGAAUGACACUUUGAAAGAAAUGUUUUCUUGCCUUUGCCGUCUA